UGUCCAGACUCCUACGGGAGGCAGCAGUGAGGAAUAUUGGUCAAUGGGCGCGAGCCUGAACCAGCCAAGUCGCGUGAGGGAGGACGGCCCUACGGGUUGUAAACCUCUUUUGCCGGGGAGCAACGGGCGUCACGUGUGGCGCCACUGAGAGUACCCGGAGAAAAAGCAUCGGCUAACUCCGUGCCAGCAGCCGCGGUAAUACGGAGGAUGCGAGCGUUAUCCGGAUUUAUUGGGUUUAAAGGGUGCGCAGGCGGAAUGUCAAGUCAGCGGUAAAAUUUCGGGGCUCAACCCCGUCGUGCCGUUGAAACUGGCGUUCUUGAGUGAGCGAGAAGUAUGCGGAAUGCGUGGUGUAGCGGUGAAAUGCAUAGAUACCACGCAGAACUCCGAUUGCGAAGGCAGCAUACCGGCGCUCAACUGACGCUCAUGCACGAAAGCGUGGGUAUCGAACAGGAUUAGAUACCCUAGUACA
rnacentral:rRNA from 1 species